CGGAAUUGUAGUUUAAGUAAAAUAUUGGCUUUGGGAGCUAAAGAUCAAAGUAUUUAUUUGUAUUCCGA